rnacentral:rRNA from 1 species
UAGCUAGUUGGUGGGGUAAGGGCCUACCAAGGCGACGAUCGGUAGCUGGUCUGAGAGGAUGGCCAGCCACACUGGAACUGAGACACGGUCCAGACUCCUACGGGAGGCAGCAGUGGGGAAUAUUGGACAAUGGGGGCAACCCUGAUCCAGCAAUGCCGCGUGUGUGAAGAAGGCCUGAGGGUUGUAAAGCACUUUCAGUAGGGAGGAGGGUUGAUUGGUUAAGAGCUGAUUGACUGGACGUUACCUACAGAAGAAGCACCGGCUAACUCCGUGCCAGCAGCCGCGGUAAUACGGAGGGUGCGAGCGUUAAUCGGAAUUACUGGGCGUAAAGCGUGCGUAGGUGGUUGAAUAAGUUAUCUGUGAAAUCCCUGGGCUUAACCUGGGCAGGUCAGAUGAUACUGUUUGACUCGAGUAUGGGAGAGGGUAGUGGAAUUUCCGGUGUAGCGGUGAAAUGCGUAGAGAUCGGAAGGAACACCAGUGGCGAAGGCGGCUACCUGGCCUAAUACUGACACUGAGGCACGAAAGCGUGGGGAGCAAACAGGAUUAGAUACCCUGGUAGUCCACGCUGUAAACGAUGUCAACUAGCUGUUGGUUAUAUGAAAAUAAUUAGCGGCGC